UCCUUCACUCUGGGAUCCCUGGGUACCCCCAGACAAUGUUGACUCCCAGCCCCAGAGGCUGAGGAUGUCUAUGAAAGGCAAUUCUGGAUGUGCAGGCUGAGACCGAUGGAGUGUGGGAAGCCUCGCUGUGCUGUUCCCCCCACCUCUUUCAAGCAGCAAUAAGCUGCCUUGGGUUGAGGGAGGGGCUGCUAGAGGCUCAGGGUUGGUUCCUGAUCUGAGCCUAUGGUUGGCUUCUCCUGUCUUUUGCCUGAGCAGUGGUACCCUCAAAGGUCCUUGACUCUCAGCUUUUGCCCCAGGUGAUGGCUGAGUUGUGUCUGCCCUGGGGGACAGAGCAAUCCCUGUAUUGUAACUGUCCCUGGCUCCCUACCUCCAUCAAUCUGUCCUUGCAUGGCUUUAAUGCUCACAUGUGGAUGGUUUCCCAAACUUAGAGAAUUUCCUAGCCCAAUGCCUGGCCUUGUGGAAUGUGGGGUAGGGCAUCCCUUAGUUGAUCUGUUGGGGAGAGUCGGCAUCCCUGCCCAUAGACUACCUGAGUCCCACUGUCUAUUUUUGACUUUGCAGCAGAGGGUCCUCAGGAGCCCAAUCCCACCUUGUGGAAUGACCCUAUUGAAUUGUCCUCGGGUGAAGGUCCCCUGGAGAGCACUAGCCACAAACAAGAAUUUGCAGUCUCUGGCCCCCCAUUCCCCACCUCGGCUCCAGCACCAGAGGACAGCACCCCUCCAGCAAGAGUGGACCAGGAUGGAGGAUCACUUGGGCCAGGCGCCAUUGCAGCCAUCGUGAUCGCCGCCCUGCUGGCCACCUGCGUGGUGCUGGCACUCGUGGUCGUCGCGCUAAGGAAGUUUUCUGCUUCUUGAAGCCAAUAAAAGAGCCGCGCAGGCCCCGCCCGCGGUGACUCUGC
rnacentral:lncRNA from 1 species